UUAAACAUGCAGGAUCCAUUCGUAUUUAUUUUGAAAAAAUGCAGCUCAGGGCAAUUUUUAUGUGAAGUGAUGAUCUAGUGCUGCUGCUAUUACUACAGUUUAUGUAUUGUGUGGGAGGUGGUUUGCUGGUAAAAUGGUAACAGCAGCCUUUAUACCUCUUCCAACUUACAACAACGUCUUUCCUGAUUUUAUGACAGCAUCACAACUAUUGCUUCCAAGUAGA
rnacentral:lncRNA from 1 species